UACGUAGGCAGCGAGCGUUGUUCGGAGUUACUGGGCGUAAAGGGUGUGUAGGCGGUCCUCUAAGUUUGGUGUGAAAUCUCCCGGCUCAACCGGGAGGGUGCGCCGAAAACUGGGGGGCUAGAGUGCGGGAUGGGUAAGUGGAAUUCCUGGUGUAGCGGUGAAAUGCGUAGAUAUCAGGAGGAACACCUGUGGUGUAGACGGCUUACUGGACCGCAACUGACGCUGAGGCACGAAAGCGUGGGUAGCAAACAGG
rnacentral:rRNA from 1 species